GCUACAUCAUGUUGAAACAUUGGUUCCUGUAUGAUCACUGAAGUUAAACAUUGUCAAGCAUGGUCAGUACCUAGAUGGGUGACCUCUUGGGAAUACCAAGUGCUGUAA